AACGUACCGAAAGGUGCGCUAAUACCGGAUAAUACUGAAUGACUACUGUCGUUUAGUCAAAGAAGGCUUCUGUUUACAUGCUUUUGCUGAAGGAUGAGUCCGCGUACCAUUAGCUAGUUGGUAGGGUAAUGGCCUACCAAGGCGACGAUGGUUAGCUGGUCUGAGAGGAUGAUCAGCCACACUGGAACUGAGACACGGUCCAGACUCCUACGGGAGGCAGCAGUGAGGAAUAUUGCGCAAUGGGGGCAACCCUGACGCAGCAACGCCGCGUGGGUGAGGAAGGUUUUCGGACCGUAAAGCUCUGUCGAGCGGGAAGAAAUGCAUGGUGGCUAAUAUCCAUCAUGCUUGACGGUACCGCUAAAGGAAGCACCGGCUAACUCCGUGCCAGCAGCCGCGGUAAUACGGGGGGUGCGAGCGUUGUUCGGAAUUAUCGGGCGUAAAGAGCGUGUAGGCGGCUGAAUAAGUCAGAUGUGAAAUCCCUGGGCUUAACCCAGGACGUGUAUUUGAAACUAUUCGGCUAGAGUAGGGGAGAGGAAAGUGGAAUUCCUGGUGUAGAGGUGAAAUUCGUAGAUAUCAGGAGGAACACCGGUGGCGAAGGCGACUUUCUGGCCCUAUACUGACGCUGAGACGCGAGAGCGUGGGUAGCAAACAGGAUUAGAUACCCUGGUAGUCCACGCUGUAAACGAUG
rnacentral:rRNA from 1 species